CCCUUAGAUGUUCUGGGCCGCACGCGCGCUACACUGACGAAUGCAACGAGCUUAUAACCUUGGCCGAAAGGUCUGGGUAAUCUCCAAAUUUCGUCGUGAUGGGGAUAGAUUAUUGCAAUUAUUAAUCUUCAACGAGGAAUGCCUAGUAAGCGCAAGUCAUCAGCUUGCGUUGAUUACGUCCCUGCCCUUUGUACACACCGCCCGUCGCUCCUACCGAUUGAGUGGUCCGGUGAAUUAUUCGGACUGCAACGCGUUCAGCUUCUGGAUGCAGUUGCGGAAAGUUUUGUAAACCUUAUCACUUAGAGGAAGGAGAAGUCGUAACA
rnacentral:rRNA from 1 species